GUAUUCAACCAGAGUCUUCAGUCUGCGAGCCAAACAAGUUGUUUUGAUCAAUAAACUUUUAUUUAUAGAACCAGGUAUUGAUCAAACUCAAAAUACUUCCUACCAAUUUCAACAGGACAUUUUUUUUCAUAUGAAAAUUUUAACUAGCUAACAAAAAGCAUUGAGGUUAUAAGAACAGGUAAUUUUUAUCCCCAGCACCCCAACUACGUGGAUUGUCUUAUUUCUAUUCCUCAACUUCAAUUUGUUUCAAUAAUAUCACCCAACUUAAUUUUGUUUUAGAUACCGUCCCACUAACCUGUUAAGCAAGCUUGCUUGUU
rnacentral:misc_RNA from 1 species